UUUGUGUUGUUUACUGCCCUCAUUCUUUCCACUCUGAAUUAUGCGUGUUUUGUUUCCUCUGUUUUCUUGAUGGGGAGCAUGUUCUCCAAUAGUAUAAUUUCCGCCCCCCUGGUUUGAACAGUUCAUGGGAAGGCAUUUUGUUACUGCAUGUUUGUGUCCUGCAAUGCACGUUGAAGUUAGUUUCAGUUCAUUGUCAGUUUACCAUAUAUACAUGGAAAACGAUUUCAUCCUGCUGGAACCAUGUUUUUUCUAGCAGCCCAUUUCAUUGGUUGAAGUUAUGGUUACUUGAGCCAUACCACUUGAUUUUCGAGGACAUGUAAUUUUUGGUCUAUCAUUAUAGAUCAUAUUACACCUUUUGCUGAUAGUCAUGGUAUUUGGUUACAGCAAGAAUAUUGGAGUUUCUCAACAUUAGAGUGCAAUCUAGAAGGCUUCAUAUCGUAUCAUAGAACAUAUUUGGAUCAGCAACUCCCUACAUAAAUCAUGCCCUGUUAAAUUACGCAUAUGUUAUCAAAUUCAUUUGAAUUUGCUUCAUUUUAGAGGCUAAUACUUUCAUGGAAAAAAUCAAGUUGAUAAUUGCUUUCCUGUUGACAAACUCUUUACUGUACAUGAGCUGAACAUUUUGUUGAGCUCUCUUUUUUCUCCCUGAAUGCGGAAAAUUGCAGCCUUUGUUUCCUCGAGAAAGUGGCGUUGAUUAAUUGGUUGAAAUUAUAAAGGUUUUUAUCUCCUGUAGAACCAUUUAAGUCCAGUAAUUUAGAUCUUUAGACUGAAGUUAUCAUUCCGUUUCCCUAUUCUAGAUUUUGGAUACCUCAGCAAGAGAAGAAAUCGGAUGCAUGUACCCAAACUAUGAAUUCAAAUUCUAUCAGAUAAAAGGUUAAAAGCUCAUCCCUGCCACAAGCUUUUGGUAAGCGCAUGCCACCUGAAGCAGUUGAUCUUGCGUAAAGGCUACUUUGGUACUCACCAAAUCAGCGCUGAACAGCCGCUUGAUGCUUGCGCCCAUCCGUUCUUUGAUGAACUGCAGGAUCCCAAGACCUGCUUGCCAAAUGAACGGCAAUUACCACCAUGGUGUGCCGCAGUGUUGAGUUUUUCUACAUCCUUACCUUACACAAGCAUUUGCAUGGUGUGCAUAGCUGGAAGGCCUCCCUGCUCAGGUACGGAUCAUUCCUGAACAUACGACGAAGUGAACACAGCGCUAUUUCUUGGCGCCCAUUCAUCCAGAGUAGACUGUCUGGCCAGCCCACAGCCCCUGUUUUAAGUGUAUGUGUUUAUGCAGUUUGAUGAAAGAAUAGCAUGUUGCUCGUUUCCAGCUUACGUUUUCAAAAUUUUCUCAGCGAUGUAUGAAACGAUGACAUAGCGCUUACAUGUACAUCAAUGGCAGCAGGGUGUUGAGAACAAGUAUGGAUGCACACUUGUCGAUAUCCGUAUUGCCAGAUUGGCCUAGUGUACAUGGAAGUGCAAACAUAAUUCUCCUGAACACUAGAAUAACGGUGUUGCUAAGUGUAGCACUAUACCUGUGUAAGGGCCUGGAUUUCCUGUCUCAACCAAGUUUCGAACCACACUUGAAACUUCCAUUGCUUCCAGUAUCGUCUGAAACCUCUGCAGCAAACACGAGUUUCAGAUAAAACUGUGAACAGAGAAGUAAAUAAAACUCCAAAUUAACACAAUGCCUCUUGUGUUAUAUAUAGAAGUGUGAUAUCAACUCAUGUGCCGCAUCAAGGUGAGUGCCAGAAAAGAAGAAAUGAAAAACUGCUACUCGGUUUAUUAAGGGAGUGUUUGGUUUGAGAAUUAACUGUAAUGGAAUGGCAUGGUUCAAUCCCAGAGGAAUGGGUCGGUUUAGUUCUUGUAUUUGGUUGGACAGAUGGGAUGUGUCAAAUUUGGUUCAGCACACCAAUUGCAUAGAGAUGGUCAGAUUACUGUGAAGAUGUUGUAAUCCAAAGAAAUAUAGCACAACUUUCAAUCAUCAAUCUCAAUAUUUCAUAUGGUAGCAAUAACCAGUCCUCUGCCUCGCUCGCGUCGUCGCCGCCUUUCCAUUGGCUCCGUCGCCGUCGCCGUCGCCAAGAUCUCAUUUUUAUUCUCCGGCGGCUGAUCCGGAGCGCGGCGGCUCGAUCUGCAACCGCCUUCCUCCAUUCCAACGCCAACAGCUGCGGUGCAGAUCUCCGAGCUUUACCAACGCCUCCCCGAGCUCGCCCCCAACGUGCGGCAUCCGACCAUGUAGCUUCGUCGCCGACAAGCUGGAGCAGAGGAGGGCUGAACCAAGCUGGAGCAAGUUGCAGCGUGCUUCCCCGACGACGAUGGCCUGUCACUGACGGCAAGUGCAAUAAGAAGGCCCCGAGGAUUAUUUUCACAAAGCAGAGAGGGAGAAGCAUAAGCGCGACCUGCUCAAUGAUCUCUUCAGUGAACUUGACGAAAUGCUAGGCAAGAGGAACAACAGAGGAUAAAGCUAAAGAACCAAGUACUCCAAUCAGUAGACCACUCCAAUCAGCAGAUCACUCCAAGCUGGAGUACCAAGUAUCUGUUUCUCCAAUCACUCCAAACCAAGGUCUCCAGCCAGGCGAAAGGGAUACUACCCGCGGCAAGUGACGAGCACCAUGUGCCGAGAGGAGCGGCGGCGGACUUCGGGCUCAAGGCGAACAACAGAGGAUCAGAGCCAAAAUCAAGCAGCGGAGCAGCACAGGAUCAGAGUUGUGGAUCAAUUCGAGAGGAGCGGAGGAUCAGCAGAGGAUCGGAGGUGUGGAUCAAUUCAAGAAGGACGCCAGAGCUGUGGCGGAUGGCGUAGCAGCAGCUGACCUCGGGCUCUCAAUUGGAGCGGAUGCAGGUUGGCGACGGUGCUGGGGCGGCGAGGGUGGUGCAGUCGGCGGGAUCCCCAGCGACAAGAAUUUCAAAUUGGGGGUAGUUUGGUACUUUUCCCCGUUUUCACAUGGUCGGAGAAAUUCCCUAACGACAAAUAAUACGGAACAGAGGGAGUAGAUUGCAUGUACAAAAAUUAUUCUCUUGUAUCAACGUACAUACAAAUAGUACUCAACUUCACGUACUGAACCUUUGGAGGUUGCAAUAACCAAUACUAUUAGAUCACGUACAAAAGCAUCUCAUGUUU